rnacentral:lncRNA from 1 species
GCCCCGGCCCCGCUCCCCGGCCCGGCCCCGGCGGGCGGAGGCGGGCUCGGGGCGGGUUAAAAGCGGCGGCAGGUGAGCGGGGAGGGACUUCAGAGCCGCGGGGCGGCGAGCCGGGCACCGGCCGCUCCGCUGACACCGCCGGACCCCCAGCAGAGCCCAGAACGGGGUAGGGGGCUCCCGGGGCGCUCCUCUCCCUCUGCGGGCACCCCCGGGGCAGUCAGCAGCUCUCGGCGAGCACGUUAUGUGAAGCACCCGGCCGGCUCCAACCCCGAGCGAGCUAAAGGCUUCCGCAAUUACAGGU